GGUGUGUUUACGGAAUAUUGGAUGUUUCGGCAGAUUUCUGUAGUGGGGUGGUGAAAAAUCAAGGAUUAAAGCUCUAAAGAGGGGUAAUCCUCCCAUUUGGUUUUAACUCGGAGUUUAUCACGAUUGAUUGAAUUGUUUCGACCAUAUCUUUGGGUUCGAUAGGCCUUGUGUGGGGUUGUAACUAAAAUUCUGCUGUAGGGGUGGUGAAUUUUUUAUUCUCUUGUAUUUUGUGGUGGG
rnacentral:misc_RNA from 1 species